rnacentral:misc_RNA from 1 species
UUUCCGUAGGUGAACCUGCGGAAGGAUCAUUAUUGUAUAACCGAGGUGCGAGGGCUGUCGCUGGCUUUCCCGCCUGGGAAGCAUGUGCACGCCUUGCUUUUCGUUGACCUUUCUCUUACUCUCACACCUGUGCACCCAUUGUAGGUCCUCGAAAGAGGAUCUAUGUUUUUAUCAUCACACGCAUCGUAUGUCCAUAGAAUGUAACAUGAUCGUCGAUCGACCUCGCGGUCGGGUGGCGGUCUAAAUAAAUAAAUACAACUUUCAGCAACGGAUCUCUUGGCUCUC